UAGGGAUUCUUCCGCAAUGGCGAAAGCCUGACGGAGCAACGCCGCGUGAGUGAUGAAGGUCUUCGGAUCGUAAAACUCUGUUAUUAGGGAAGAACAAGUGCGUAGGUAACUAUGCGCACCUUGACGGUACCUAAUCAGAAAGCCACGGCUAACUACGUGCCAGCAGCCGCGGUAAUACGUAGGUGGCAAGCGUUAUCCGGAAUUAUUGGGCGUAAAGCGCGCGUAGGCGGUUUUUUAAGUCUGAUGUGAAAGCCCACGGCUCAACCGUGGAGGGUCAUUGGAAACUGGAAAACUUGAGUGCAGAAGAGGAAAGUGGAAUUCCAUGUGUAGCGGUGAAAUGCGCAGAGAUAUGGAGGAACACCAGUGGCGAAGGCGACUUUCUGGUCUGCAACUGACGCUGAUGUGCGAAAGCGUGGGGAUCAAACAGGAUUAGAUACCCUGGUAGUCCACGCCGUAAACGAUGAGUGCUAAGUGUUAGGGGGUUUCCGCCCUUAGUGCUGCAGCUUACGCAUUAAGCACUCCGCCUGGGGAGUACCGCCGCAAGGCUG
rnacentral:rRNA from 1 species